AUGCCCAUGUCCAGUUGCUAUGGCCUAGACGACUACCGGCCUCACCGCCCCAUCCUGAGCCCCGGAGUAGGGGUGGGGGGUGGGCCGGGGCAACAGCAACACACCAUGGGUGGCAACAACAUCGGAGGCAUGGGCUGCGCCAGUGGUCUAUCCAGCAGCGGCGAGCCCCGCGGGGUUGGUGGGGGGGGGACUGGGAGUGGCUCGGGGGGCAGCAGCUCGGGUUCCUUCCUGGGCUCCCUGUUUGGCAGCAAGCGCGCCAAGCCACCCGCCCCCCUCAUCCCUCCUGGGCCGCACUACCCGGCACCCGUGCCCCCUCCCACCAGUGGGGGUCCGCCGCCGCUCUCGCCGUCCUCCCUCACCGACCCCGGUGGGCCGUCCAAGCUUCAGGCGCUGCACGCGCAGUAUUGCCACAACAACAGCGUGGGCCAGCCGCCACCCCCCUAUCACCACCACCACCGCUACCACGUGCAGGCCGUGCCCAUGGUCAGCGUGCCCCCUUGCUCUACACCAGGCAUGCACCACACCAUCCAGCGCGGUUCCUUGCCCAGGCGCCCGCAGCCUAUGCCUAUGCCAAGCCACGCCCAGCUGCAGCAGUACAGCCAGCAGCAGGUCCAGAUCUCCCAGCAUGCUAUGCUUCAGCAGCAGCAGCAAGGACGCUACAUCAGUAUGGGCAUGGGCAUGACCUGCACGCCUCCUCCGCUUUCGCCACACUCCCCGCUCUCUCCCGUGUCUCCGUUCCCGAUGUACCACGCGCACGCACUCUCGCAGGCGCAUACACACAUGCCGCUGCAUCCCACACACUCGGUGCGCGGCCCCGGCCCCGGGCCCAAGAUGCCGCUCAUGCUGUCGCACUCGCAGCCGCACCCGCACGCCCACUCGCACGUCGCCCACUCUCACGCCCACGGCCACCUGGGCGGUGGCGGUGGACUCGCCCACAGCCCCCUCCCCGCGCACCAUCAGCACUUUGUCUUUGCUGCGCCACCCCAGGCGCCACCCACCGCCAUCACGGCGCGCUAUGUGCCCCAGUUCCCGCACCCCUCCACCAUUCCGCCUCCACCCCCUCACUCGCCCCUGCCCCCGCCCUCGCCUCAUGCACCUCUUACACCUCUUACGCCUCUUACGCCUCUCUCCCCCCACCCACCCCAGUCGCUGGCACAGGGAGGGGGCCCGGGUGGGGGGGGGCCCGGUGGCAGCGGGGGAGGGGGUGGCAGCAACAGCGGCACGGUGGGCAGCUCCAAGUCCAAGCCUAUCAACCGCAUCAGCACAGUGGUGUGA
rnacentral:lncRNA from 1 species